rnacentral:rRNA from 1 species
AUGCGGACUCCGGAGUCGGAGGCGUGUUCCGCCCGCCGCGAGAGGCAGAGGGCCAGGGAGAUGGCGGGCAGGUCCGACGCGUCUGCGCAGUCCGCCUGCCGCCGCCAGGUGCCCGACGAGGAGGACCGCCUCCUCGAGUGGGUGUGCCGCCGGUCACUUACUGAGGCGAAGACGAAGGCCCGACGGCUCUGGAGGAUCAAUGCCAAGCAGCUCCGGCUCGACAUUGAGCAAUUCGAGCGGGAGGCGGCGGAGGCAACGACAGAGGCGGCGAGGGUGGCCAAGCUCAAGCGCAAGCAAGACAUCAUCGUCCGGCGCUUGCAAAGCUACAUCGUCAUCUCCGAUUCCUCCGAUGACGAUGGGUCCGACGGCUCCGACAUGGACCCACCUCCUGUCGCGGACUCCUACAGGUGCACCGGCGACCGGAAGGGCAAAAGGCUGGUAAGGAAGUGCUGA